GAUGAACGCUGGCGGUGUGCCUAAUACAUGCAAGUCGUACGCAUUCUCGUUUCUGAUUGACGGUGCUUGCACCUAAUUGACGAGACAUUGGAAUGAGUGGCGGACGGGUGAGUAACACGUGGGUAACCUGCCCAGAAGUGGGGGAUAACAUUUGGAAACAGAUGCUAAUACCGCAUAAAAGUCAAAACCACAUGGUUUUGAUUUAAAAGAUGGCCUUUGUGCUAUCACCUCUGGAUGGACCCGCGGCGUAUUAGCUAGUUGGUAAGGUAACGGCUUACCAAGGGAAUGAUACGUAGCCGAACUGAGAGGUUGAUCGGACACAAUGGGACUGAGACACGGCCCAUACUCCUACGGGAGGCAGCAGUAGGGAAUCUUCCACAAUGGGCGCAAGCCUGAUGGAGCAACACCGCGUGAGUGAAGAAGGGUUUCGGCUCGUAAAACUCUGUUGUUAAAGAAGAACGUAUCUAAGAGUAACUGCUUAGGUAGUGACGGUAUUUAACCAGAAAGCCACGGCUAACUACGUGCCAGCCGCCGCGGUAG
rnacentral:rRNA from 1 species